GGGUCUCUCUAGUUAGACCAGAUCUAAGCCUAAGAGCUCUCUGGCUGACUAGGGAACCCAC
rfam:HIV-1 clone pMCE4.81 from Canada, 5' long terminal repeat, partial sequence.